GACGUAGGGCGCGAGCGUUGUCCGGAUUUAUUGGGCGUAAAGAGCUCGUAGGCGGCUUGUCGCGUCGACCGUGAAAACUUGGGGCUCAACCCCAAGCCUGCGGUCGAUACGGGCAUCACUGGAGUUCGGCAGGGGAGACUGGAAUUCCUGGUGUAGGCGGUGAAAUGCGCAGAUAUCAGGAGGAACACCGGUGGCGAAGGCGGGUCGCUGGGCCGAUACUGACGCUGAGGAGCGAAAGCGUGGGGAGC
rnacentral:rRNA from 1 species